rnacentral:rRNA from 1 species
GACGAACGCUGGCGGCAUGCCUAAUACAUGCAAGUCGAGCGAACAGAUGAAGUGCUUGCACUUCUGACGUUAGCGGCGAACGGGUGAGUAACACGUGAGGAGUCUACCUAUAAGCGGGGGAUAACACUCGGAAACGGGUGCUAAUACCGCAUAAUAUCUUCUUCCGCAUGGAAGAAGAUUGAAAGACGGCUCUGCUGUCACUUAUAGAUGACCUUGCGGUGCAUUAGUUAGUUGGUGGGGUAACGGCCUACCAAGACGAUGAUGCAUAGCCGACCUGAGAGGGUGAUCGGCCACAUUGGGACUGAGACACGGCCCAAACUCCUACGGGAGGCAGCAGUAGGGAAUCUUCCGCAAUGGGCGAAAGCCUGACGGAGCAAUGCCGCGUGAGUGGAGAAGGCCUUCGGGUCGUAAAACUCUGUUAUAAGAGAAGAACAAAUUGUAGAGUAACUGCUACAGUCUUGACGGUAUCUUAUCAGAAAGCCACGGCUAACUACGUGCCAGCAGCCGCAGUAA